rnacentral:rRNA from 1 species
UGGGGAAUAUUGCACAAUGGGGGAAACCCUGAUGCAGCAACGCCGCGUGAGCGAUGAAGGCCUUCGGGUGUAAAGCUCUGUCCUCAAGGAAGAUAAUGACGGUACUUGAGGAGGAAGCCCCGGCUAACUACGUG